rnacentral:rRNA from 1 species
CCGGGGGGGGGGUGCUAUACAUGCAAGUCGAGCGCAGGAGCAGGCAGAUCCCCUUCGGGGGUGAUGCCUGUGGAAUGAGCGGCGGACGGGUGAGUAACACGUGGGCAACCUGCCUGUAAGAUCGGAAUAACUCCGGGAAACCGGGGCUAAUGCCGGGUAAUCCUUUUUCUCGCAUGAGAGAGAGGUAAAAGAUGGCCUUUGGCUAUCACUUACAGAUGGGCCCGCGGCGCAUUAGCUAGUUGGUGAGGUAACAGCUCACCAAGGCGACGAUGCGUAGCCGACCUGAGAGGGUGAUCGGCCACACUGGGACUGAGACACGGCCCAGACUCCUACGGGAGGCAGCAGUAGGGAAUCUUCCGCAAUGGACGAAAGUCUGACGGAGCAACGCCGCGUGAACGAUGAAGGUCUUCGGAUCGUAAAGUUCUGUUGUUAGGGAAGAACAAGUACCGUGCGAAUAGAGCGGUACCUUGACGGUACCUAACGAGGAAGCCCCGGCUAACUACGUGCCAGCAGCCGCGGUAAUACGUAGGGGGCAAGCGUUGUCCGGAAUUAUUGGGCGUAAAGCGCGCGCAGGCGGUUUCUUAAGUCUGAUGUGAAAGCCCACGGCUCAACCGUGGAGGGUCAUUGGAAACUGGGGAACUUGAGGACAGAAGAGGAGAGUGGAAUUCCACGUGUAGCGGUGAAAUGCGUAGAUAUGUGGAGGAACACCAGUGGCGAAGGCGACUCUCUGGUCUGUUUCUGACGCUGAGGUGCGAAAGCGUGGGUAGCAAACAGGAUUAGAUACCCUGGUAGUCCACGCC